CGCAAAUUACCCACUCUCAGCACGAGGAGGUAGUGACGAAAAAUAACGAGACCGUUCUCUUAUGAGGCCGGUCAUCGGAAUGGGUACAAUUUAAACCCUUUAACGAGUAUCUAUGAGAGGGCAAGUCUGGUGCCAGCAGCCGCGGUAAUUCCAGCUCUCAAAGUGCAUAGAAUUAUUGCUGCGGUUAAAAAGCUCGUAGUUGGAUCUGUGCCUGUGGACGUGGUCCACCCAUUUCGGGUGCGCACUACGCUCCUAGGCUUUUUGCUGGUUUUCCCGUCGUAGCCUUCGCUGGUUGCGGCGGGUGGCUGGCGAGUUUACUUUGAGAAAAUCAGAGUGCUCAAUACAGGCGUAUCGCUUGAAUGAUUGUGCAUGGAAUAAUAGAAAAGGAUUUCGGUCCUCUUUUAUUGGUUUUGUGGACUGAGAUAAUGGUUAACAGGGACAAACGGGGGCAUUCGUAUCUCUGCGUGAGAGGUGAAAUUCAUGGACCGCAGCGAGACGUCCUACAGCGAAAGCAUUUGCCAAGAAUGUCUUCAUUAAUCAAGAACGAAAGUCAGAGGUUCGAAGGCGAUUAGAUACCGCCGUAGUUCUGACCGUAAACGAUACCAUCUAGCGAACCGAUGGCGGUGUAUCACUGCCUCGUCGGGGAGCUUCCCGGAAACGAAAGACUUCCGGUUCCGGGGGUAGUAUGGUUGCAAAGCUGAAACUUAAAGGAAUUGACGGAAGAGCACCACCAGGAGUGGAGCCUGCGGCUUAAUUUGACUAA
rnacentral:rRNA from 1 species